GUCUAUCUUCGGGGCAGGGUGAAAAUCCCGACCGGCGGUGAUGAACAUUUAAUAAUUUCGUUCUAAGCCCGCGAGCCGUUAAGGCAGGAUUUGGUGUGAUUCCAAAGCCGACAGUACAGUCUGGAUGGGAGAAGAUGGAG
rnacentral:ncRNA from 2 species